UAAUGACGGUACCAUAGGAGGAAGCCCCGGCUAACUACGUGCCAGCAGCCGCGGUAAUACGUAGGGGGCGAGCGUUGUCCGGAAUUAUUGGGCGUAAAGGGUGCGUAGGCGGCGUAGUAAGUCAGAUGUGAAAGCCAUGGGCNCAACCGAUGUAAGCAUUUGAAACUGCAAGGCUUGAGNNNNNGAGAGGAGAGUGGAAUUCCUAGUGUAGCGGUGAAAUGCGUAGAUAUUAGGAGGAACACCAGUGGCGAAGGCGACUCUCUGGA
rnacentral:rRNA from 1 species